UACAGAGGUUUCGAGCGUUAGUCGGAAUCACUGGGCUUAAAGCGUGUGUAGGCGGAUCGGUAAGUACCUUGUGAAAUCCCACAGCUUAACUGUGGAACUGCUUGGUAUACUGCCAGUCUUGAGCCAGCUAGGGGCGACCGGAACAAAUGGUGGAGCGGUGAAAUGCGUAGAUAUCAUUUGGAACGCCAAUGGUGAAAACAGGUAGCUGGGGCUGUGCUGACGCUGAGACACGAAAGCCAGGGGAGCGAACGGG
rnacentral:rRNA from 1 species